GAUGAAGAACGCAGCGAAAUGCGAUAAGUAAUGUGAAUUGCAGAAUUCAGUGAAUCAUCGAAUCUUUGAACGCACAUUACGCCCUCUGGUAUUCCGGAGGGCAUGCCUGUUCGAGCGUCAUUUCAACCCUCAAGCAUUGCUUGGUGUUGGGGCACCGCCUGUAAAAGGGCGGGCCCUGAAAUCUAGUGGCGAGCUCGCCAGGACCCCGAGCGUAGUAAUUAUAUUUCGUUCUGGAAGGCCCUGGCGGUGCCCUGCCGUUAAACCCCCAACUUCUGAAAAUUUGACCUCGGAUCAGGUAGGAAUACCCGCUGAACUUAAGCAUAUCAAUAAGCGGAGGA
rnacentral:misc_RNA from 1 species